GUACCUUCAAGCUUUGCUUGGUGAUGGGUGUUUGUCCAAUCUUCAGAUUAGACUCGCCUCAAAAUUAUUGGCAGCCGGCAUAUUGGCCUUUGGAGCGCAGCACAUUUUGCGAUCUAAGCCUGUAUACUGGUAUCCAUGAAGCCUCUUUAUCAC
rnacentral:misc_RNA from 1 species